AUGGGACCCAAACCCGUUCACUGUGUGGGCCGGUCAUCGACUUCUUCUCCUCUUCUGUCGAGCCCAACCGAACCCAAUGGAUCGUACGAGAGGACUUCCACCCUAUUGCCUCCGGCCGGCGGCGGCGAUUCUGUGCUGCCGCCCCACGCCUCCGCCAUUGCCGAGCUGCCCCCCGCCCGCAAGUGCAAUCGAAUCCAAUCCCUCUUCCCUACCAACUACGUAGACCGGAAGAAUCGAAUCCCUCUUUCUUUACCAACGGCGGCAAGCCACCAUGAUGCGCGCGCCGCUGCGAGAAGGAAAGAAUCUUCUUUCCCCACUCCUCUGCUUUGGUGGACGGAGGCUGCGGCAAGAAGAAAGGAAUCUCAUUCCAUGGCCUGA
rnacentral:rRNA from 1 species